rnacentral:rRNA from 1 species
AUAUCAAUAAGCGGAGGAAAAGAAACUAACAAGGAUUCCCCUAGUAACUGCGAGUGAAGAGGGAAAAGCUCAAAUUUAAAAUCUGUCUGCCUUGCUGCAGUCCGAGUUGUAGUUUAGAGAAGCGCUAUCCGCGUUGGCCUGUGCAAAAGUUUCUUGGAAAAGAACAUCAUAGAGGGUGACAAUCCCGUCUUUGGCACAGAUUACCAGGGCUUUGUGAUACGCUCUCAACGAGUCGCGUUGUUUGGGAAUGCAGCGCUAAAUGGGUGGUAAAUUCCAUCUAAAGCUAAAUAUUGGCGAGAGACCGAUAGCGCACAAGUA